rnacentral:rRNA from 1 species
GAUGAACGCUGGCGGCAUGCCUAACACAUGCAAGUCGUACGCGAUCACUUUUUUCGCUCGCAGGUGCUGAAUAGCAAUAUUCCGCCGUUGCGAGCGGAACUCAUAAAGUGAUUGAGUGGCGGACGGGUGAGUAACACGUUGGUACCUGCCCUAGAGUGGGGAAUAAUUCACCGAAAGGUGGACUAAUACCCCAUAGUCUCCGGUUUAUCCGGAGUAAAGCUUCGGCGCUCUAGGAGGGGCCUGCGUUUGAUUAGCUAGUUGGCGGGGUAAAGGCCCACCAAGGCGACGAUCAAUAGCUGGAUCGAGAGGUUGACCAGCCACACUGGGACUGAGAUACGGCCCAGACUCCUACGGGAGGCAGCAGUGAGGAAUCUUCCACAAUGGGCGCAAGCCUGAUGGAGCAAUGCCGCGUGCAGGAAGACGCUUUUCGGAGUGUAAACUGCUUUUCUGAAGGAAGAUUAUGACGGUACUUCAGGAAUAAGGAUCGGCUAACUACGUG